GCCAGUGUAGUAUAGUGAUUUGGGCAUUGGCCUAUGACCCUGGAGACCAGGGUUCAAUUCCCUGCUCAGCUG